GCAUACCGCUGGGGGUGCCCCGCGCCGCUUCAGGCGCGCGGGCUGAGAGAGUCCCUUUGAACCUGAUUGAGAUCAUCCUCGCGCAGGGAAGCCCGCACGCCAUGGC
rnacentral:ncRNA from 1 species